rnacentral:lncRNA from 1 species
UUAAUUUAACACAGUUUGUUUGCACUGAAGAAAACAAAACGGUCAUGUGAAGGAAGCUACCAGCAUAGUAUGAGAUUUUUCUUACAUUCAUACCAAUUUAAACAGAUGUUACCAGUCCUGUCCUACCUAUUAACAUUUUAGGUGACAGAAGAUGUCAUUUGAUGAUAUACAGAGAAUACAUAAUUAAACAGCUGGCUAGUAAAAGAAACCACUCACUGAAAAACAUGCUGAAAGUAAACUGCUAAUAAAUACAUUUUGAAGCAUGCAGUAGAAUAUUAAUUAACUCAUUUAUGUGAUCCUGAGGGAACUAUGAUUUGAAAUGAUGAGAUACCUUUUGGGUUUUUUUUUGUUUGUUUGUUUUGAUUUACCUAGCAUACUUCUGCAAUCAAAUGGCAUUAAGGAGGAUUUCAGCAUAUAAACUCCUGGUCAAUUCAAUGACUCUUAAAUCAUGAACUUAAUCACAUGUUUAUUAAAGUUCUGUCUGUGGUGCCCCAGUACUGCAAUCUGAUAAAACAAAAUCACAUGGUUCCUGCUGGAAAACUUUAAUGUGACCACUUAGGGUAGAGAGAGGAAUGGAAUUGAUUCUGCAGUUAAAUCUGCCCAUUUGUUAAGAGCACAGAAAAAAAAAGAUAAUUUGCUAAUAACUUUGUGGUAAUGGCUAUUCUACUUGCAGAAUUUCCUGUUAGAAAGUCAGAAUUUAUCUUCAGGCAUUUCACUACAUCUACAGGAGCUGCUGUCAGACACUGUAAGGACAGAGGAGUGUAUGAUAUAGUUUCAGUCAGAUGCUUCUUCUCCGCUACAGCUCUGAGUUGAAAACUGCUGACCACACAUAUGAACAACAUCAGAUGAGAAUGCAUGUUAAAUAAAUGCACAUCUAAUCAUGUGCA